GACAGCAGUCAGACCUGGCUUUCUCUCAUCCCCAAGUUCCCGAAGUGUCGGGCAUUUUGCAUUCACUGCGAUACGGUUGCGCAUAGGACAGACUUAGGCAGCCGCAUUUGAUGUAUGAAAUCGAGGGAGCGAGAUCGUUCUGGUGGUGGGACGGAGAGGCACAAAGUCUUCCAGAGCAGAACGUUCAACACCGAAUCAAUAUUCAGUCUCUUCCGUCAACAUUUCAUUGCACCCUAUGCAUAAUAUUAAUAAUAAUAAACUGUUUAUUACUGA